AACCAUAGCUCAUUCUUCUGAGAAUGUAAUUGUCAAAAUUAAGAAACCCAUUUCUUAUUGACUGAAACCUAGAAACUAUCUAUUAUCAUAAAACAUUAACAAGAAGAAAAAUCCCACUUAAACUAUCCUAUUCUUUAAAAAGACCCCGCAAUUCAAAUUUUCUGGCAUCCUACCCUUUAAUUCUACAAGCCAUCGUUCUAUCUUCAGUUGUUCUGUAUCAUUAUUGCCCUCAAUGGAGAUUUCAUAGAAAUAGAAACCGUCAGAGUCCCUUUGUACUUAUUUCCUCCAACUCAUUUCAAACGUCGUUUAGAGAUCUUCUAUCCUCUUCGGUCAUUGAUUCCAUUUUUUUAAGGAGCAUCCUCGAUCCAAACCCUCGAUUGUGUCUAUUGUUUUCUUUCCUCAGUCAUCGCAUGCAUCGUAUGAUUUACCUUUCGUCUCACAAAAUAGCAGGUAAAGCUUUUGAAUUUUUGUGCUUUUUUCUUUUAUUUCUUGUACAAUCAUUGUGAUACUCGAUCUGUCCUCAUCUCCUGUUUGGAUUUUUUUUAUGACUAUCAAGGAGUCACCUUCUAUUUUCAGUUUAUGAAACCCUCUUUUCUCAGCCACCGUCACUGCUUGUAGACAUGCUUUCGCCUCUGUAAUGGUUGCAUCGGCUAUAAAAUUGUUCUGGUAAGUGCAUGCUGCUAAUAUAUAUCCCUCGACAUCUUUGAAUAUGAUUCUCGUAACCGAACUUAGCAUGUUUUUAUUAUAUGCCUUAUCGAAAUCACAAUUAACUUUAUUUUCUCUCAGUGGUUUCCAAAUACAAUCGUUUUGUUAUAUAUUUGUUGUUGUUUUUUGAACUAUGUGGUUACUUUCUACCUAGAAUGCUUUGAUAAAUGCAAUUAACCCAAUUGUACUUUGUUUUUCACCUUGAUGGUAAACUUUAUUUCUUUGGUGCCAUACUGCCCAUAGAGAUAUUUGUAGGCAUUUGCAUUGUUCUUCUUCCAUACUAACAAAUAGAUUUGCUAACAAUAACUUCCAGUUUUGGCCUUGGGACUAGGAGAGGCAUCAAUCCCUAUCCCUUGCAGGAUAUUUUUGACAAACAUACAGUCCCAGAAUAUACGGUUCACCGAUUCUUCCAUUGAGUGACAUAGUGGGUAAUCGUUCAUCACCCUCAACUUCUUAGAUUGAAGGUUAUUAAGAGUAGGAAUAUAGUUAUUUAUUACUUUCCAUAUUGUAAAUUUGAUCUUGCUCGCAAUUUGUAAGUUCCAUAGUCUGGUGUAGAAGUUCUAUAAAAUCAUCGGUUGUAGCGUUACUUCCUUUUGCAUUUGUGUUGUACCUUCUUUAAACAAUCACUUGUAUCAUCUUUUUGCUGAGUACACUCCUGUAUUAUCACCCUUCCAAACCCCGAUGUCCUUGAUAUCGACUCCAGCAAUUGGAAUGGUAUGAAUUAUGUUUGCUUGCUCCUCGUCAAAAAGCUUUCUUAGGACUUCUAACCUCCAGGUGAUUUGUUCAUAAUUAAUUAAGUUUGCUACUAUUGUGAAGUUGAUAUUAAUAUUCUGUCAUGUUAUUUUUACAUGUCUAGGCCCUGGAGGCCAAUCUUUAUUCCAUAUAUUGAUUGAUUUGCCAUUUCUUACCCUUCAUCCUAUGCUUGCCUCAAAAAGUCCUCUCAAGCACCAUAUGCUUCUCCAGGUAAAUGGCAGGUGAGAUCCUAAACUUGCAUUAAAAAAAUUCACUAUUUGGGUAAUAUUUUGCUUUCAUAACAUGAGCAAAUAAGCAUUCUAGAUUCAUUAUUAAUUUCCACCCCUGUUAUGCGAGCAAAGCAAUAUUAAAUUUAGCAAAAUCUCUAAAACCUAAUCCUUAUUGCACUUUCGGUUUGCACACCUCCCUCUACUUACACCAAUGGAUCCCCUUCCUUGUUUUGGAAUUUCUCCACUAGAAUUUACUAAUAAUGUUUUCUAACUCACGACAAAGGGUAAUAGGCAAUAAGAAACAUUGCAUCGUAUAAACUGGUAUGGCUUGUAAAACUGACUUAAGAAAGACUUAUUUACCUCCAAGCAAUUAUUGCUGAAUACUCCAGUUUUCAAUGUGUCUAGAGAAUUAGUCUUUAAAAUUUGCAAACUCUGAUUUUUUCUGUCUUCCUAUCAUGGUUGGAAGACCUAAAUAUUUUUUCGAAUUACUUGAAAUUCUUACUCCAAGAGAGUUCCAAUCUAUUCCUUAUAAUCUCUCUGCACAUUACUACUAAAGUAAAUCAGUGACUUUUCAUAAUUGAUUAACUAGCCCAAAACCUCUUCGUACUUGUUUAAUAUUGAUUUAAUAGCCUUUGCCCCCUCCAUACUUGCUUCCCCGAAUAGAAUGCUAUCAUCCAAGAAAACUAGAUGAGUUAACAAUAGUCCAUGAUAAACAUGUUAAUUUGCAAAUUUUUUAUGAUUAAUUUGGUUUAUUUUUGAACUAAACCCUGCUAAUUAAGUGAUUUUAUGAUUUAAACUUGUCAGGGAUGCAAUUGGACAAAAACAAGCUAAAAGGGGCCAAAUUGAAACACAAUCGAAAUAGGGCCAAAUCAAAAAGGGUGGAGGAAGCCAAGGACACAUCAAAUAUUUUGACUUUAUAAAAGCCAAAAAUAGGAAAAUCUUAUUUUAUUUUAUUUAUUUUUAUUUUAUUUUUGAUUUUACAAUAAAUUAGUUUAGGCUAAAUCUAGUAAACCCUAUGUAUAUAAAUAGGGACUUUAUGUUCUUAGGAAAUCAUCCAUUAAUUUUUGUAUUCCUACUUUCAUUUGGAAUUGAACUAUUUUCUUUUCUCUUUCAAUUUGAUGUGGGAAUUUCGUUCAUUUUAUUUCAAUUUCUUUGUUCUUUCUAAAUUCCUCCAAUUGCUUUCUAACCCCUUUUAUUCCCCAAUUUCUUCUAUUAUCAUACAGAUUCAAUCACCUUCCACAACCUACAAGCAUGAAUAAAUUCAUGCUUCACUAAAAUUUUAACUUAGCCUUGGGUCGGUGUUCUUUCCAGUCGGGAAUCGUGAGAUACGAAUUCCUGCUAAAAAUUCGUCCAAUCGAUAUUCAUUUUUUUCCUAAGUGUCAGAAUUGACAACUCAUCUCUUAAAGUUAACUCGAUUACAAGUCAAAAAGUGCAUGUUGGUUUGGAGUCGUGUUAGUUGACAAUUGGAGAAACGAGUCGGUCGUGCUGUAUUCGAAUAUCUGAGAACAAAUUGAGAAAGAAGUGAUCAGGUUUAAACGACCCAUGCAGUUGAGGCCGUUAAGUCAAGUUGGGUUCUUCAAAAUGAAAUGCUGCCAGAAUCUUGAAUCGGGAACACGUGUGUCUCAGUUAGAUAAUUGGUAAGGGUUGGUUUGCAGGUCGUACCGGAACCAGCUACUAGAGGAGGAAUUGGUGGUUAGGACGUUCGUAACUGCUGUAACUAGCUUAUCGGUUGGAGGAGAAGAUUAAUUUUUGAAGAUCGAUUCUUGAUACGAAAUUUACCGAGUCUAAGGCUAAGACUUAUUUUAUCUGUCUACAUAAGUCUUAAUUUAUUUCCAGUUUACAUUUAUUUUCAAUUGUAGUCAACCGUUUAUUUAAGCUGAUUAGAUUAUUUACUUUCUUAAAUAUUCUCAAAUUCCCUCGAUUUAAUUGUUUAUUUUUAGCAGGUAUGUUUGGAGUUGUGGGCACGACUCUUAACACAAUGCUUGACGAGACGAAUAUUCUGCUCAUAAGUGGACACAGAAGUUGAUUGCGAUAUCCAAUCCCUAUGGACUCGACCCUACUACCACUCUUUAUUACAAUUUAGAGUUGUUUCUGGAGGAAUUAUUUUUGGUGGUUUCGACGCCCAUCAAAUUUUGGCGCCAUUACCGAGGAUUGGAGAUAUUAUUCUAAUUUUUGUUUGUUUACCUUAUGACCAGAUCAGAAUUGGGAACUCUAGAAUUUGAACUAGAAAUUGAGAAAUUCGCCCGAGAAAUGUGGAAAGAACCCAUUCGAUGCG
rnacentral:lncRNA from 1 species